rnacentral:rRNA from 1 species
UACAGAGGGGGCAAGCGUUGUUCGGAAUUACUGGGCGUAAAGGGCGCGUAGGCGGCCUGUUAAGUCGAACGUGAAAUCCCCGGGCUCAACCCGGGAACUGCGUCCGAUACUGGCAGGCUUGAAUCCGGGAGAGGGAUGCGGAAUUCCAGGUGUAGCGGUGAAAUGCGUAGAUAUCUGGAGGAACACCGGUGGCGAAGGCGGCAUCCUGGGACCGGCAUUGACGCCUGGAGGCGCGAAAGCUAGGGGGAGCAAACGGG